AUUAUGAAGAGUGCACAAAUAAUUAUGACAUGUCCGAACUUCGAUUGGUUAUAUAGAGAGCUAGACAAAAUUUUAAAUGCGAGAAACAGAUACCAACAAACGUUAUCUAGCAGCAGUAUUGCAUCGAGAAGCAAUCGUGUCCGUAUAUAGUGUCGGCGCACCGACAUCGUAUCAGUAAGGCUGGAAGAUCUGUUACCGCCGCAGGUUUACCCAUUCUUCCAGCGUUCCACAGUGGACACCCUAGAAAAAUUCCAGAAGGUGGAAGCAUUUUGAAUCGAACAGAUGGAAAUAGUGAUACAACUAUUCGACAAUGAAAUCUCGACAACACGCCGCUUCAAGGAUAAAAAAUACAAGAUUCUGAAGAGCCGGUACUGGGUGCAGCAGCGCGAUUUGAAAGUGGCGACGGAGAAGUACAUGAUGAAUUUGAAAAAGGAGUAUGAGAAGCUGCAGCUCGCCGAGAUGCAGAGGAAACUCAAUUCCGCGUGAGCAGACGCCGUACGUCAUACUCCGACACCUCAUCCAUGCGUCACUCGAGUACAGGGUUGACAGGAUACUCUAUCGUGGAAUCGCUGAACUCUAUGAAAUCCGUCACAACACCCAUGAAUAUAACACCCAUCAUGCCGCUAUCGCCAGAUUUAAAGAAACACGAAGUAUAGUAGAACCGUCGAUGGUUUUCGCGUACCCCGCCAACCGUAA